GCCAGCAGCUAGAUUCCCCUCCCCCCUGGAACCAACAAUGAACUUUCUGUUUGGUUCAGGGGAUCAUUGUAACUCAGAACACUUCCUGUUUAGCAUUCUCAGUUACAGAGGGGAGCUGCACUUCUGCCUGUAUCCAAAGAUAUUCCAUUUCCCUGGACUGUAUAGAGGGUAUGCAAGCUGGAUCUAAAUUAAUGAAAUCAUCUUUUGGCUGCAUUCCUGCUGGAUUUAUAAGGAAUAUGAGAUGCUGUGUCUCAUGAGAUUGCACCAGAGAUCAGAAACAGAAAUAAAUAAAUCCUAGUGGUCUUCCAUGUUCCAAAGUAAAAUGGACUUUCUGUAUGAUCCAAUAUUCAGCACAAAGAUCAACCUAAGUAAUAUUGACCAGAAGAAAUGUUCAGGUGACUCCUAAUUCAGCUGCACUGCCAGUUCCCAAAUUCUGUCUCCUCCACAAUCUGCAUAAUUAGAUAAUGGAAGAAAUGACAGGACCAUAGGAAACUAGGGCCCAAAGGGACUUCACAAGGUCAUCUAUUCCAGCCCCCUACUAAAGCUGAUAUGUCAAAAGGAGUAACUUGGAACUGGUAAUUUUACAAGCAGCACACAAAGUGAGAAGAAACUCUGCCCCUGCUGGAAAAAAUACUGAUAAGACAAAUAAUUGUAUUCUGUUCAUUUUAG